rnacentral:lncRNA from 1 species
CUUGACACCUCUAACUAGGGUGAGGAUCCAGAUGCAGAAUAUUGCACGAAACACUGUAGAGGAAAGUUGCAGUAUAAUCGUGCGCAGGAGUCAGCAGAAGAUGAAGAAGAAAAUCCAUAUUGGAAGAUUGGAAUAGAGAGACGGAUGAAUCGGCUUCAUGGAAUAAUGAAACUACUCUAAGAAAAAUGUACUUAUAAACAUGAAUAUCCACAAUCAAAGAUAUUCACACAGUCGCACUUGAGAUGGGAUGCAUGGAAGGCCCAUAAAUACCAGAAAAAUACAUUUCCAUUUUCCUCCGUGCAUC